rnacentral:rRNA from 1 species
UACGUAGGGUGCAAGCGUUAUCCGGAAUUAUUGGGCGUAAAGAGCUCGUAGGCGGUUUGUCGCGUCUGCUGUGAAAACUGGGGGGCUCAACCCCCCAGCCUGCAGUGGGUACGGGCAGACUAGAGUGCGGUAGGGGAGAUUGGAAUUCCUGGUGUAGCGGUGGAAUGCGCAGAUAUCAGGAGGAACACCGAUGGCGAAGGCAGAUCUCUGGGCCGUAACUGACGCUGAGGAGCGAAGCAUGGGGAGCGAACAGG